rnacentral:rRNA from 1 species
CACGUAAGACCCUAGCGUUAUUCGGAAUUAUUGGGCGUAAAGGGCACGCAGGCGGUUUGGUAAGUCAGAAGUGAAAUACCGGAGCUUAACUCCGGUGCUGCUUUUGAUACUGCUGAACUUGAAUCAGUGAGGGGUGACCGGAAUUCCUAGUGUAGGGGUGAAAUCUGUAGAUAUUAGGAAGAACACCGGUGGCGAAGGCAGGUCACCAGCACAUGAUUGACGCUCAGGUGCGAAGGUGCGGGGAGCAAAC